rnacentral:hammerhead_ribozyme from 1 species
CAUUUGCUGACGAGUCUCGAACAGGACGAAACAGCUGUCCGGUGC